rnacentral:rRNA from 1 species
UACGUAGGGGGCAAGCGUUGUCCGGAUUUAUUGGGCGUAAAGAGCGUGUAGGCGGCUUGGUAGGUCCGCUGUGAAAACUCGAGGCUCAACCUCGAGAUGUCGGCGGAAACCACUUGGCUAGAGUCCGGAAGAGGAGAGUGGAAUUCCCGGUGUAGCGGUGAAAUGCGCAGAUAUCGGGAAGAAUACCGAUGGCGAAGGCAGGUCUCUGGGCUAUAACUGACGCUCAUGCACGAAGGCGUGGGGAGCAAACAGG